UACAGAGGUCUCAAGCGUUGUUCGGAUUCAUUGGGCGUAAAGGGUGCGUAGGUGGCCAGGUAAGUUUGGUGUGAAAGCUCGGAGCUUAACUCCGAAAAGUCAUUGAAUACUAUCUGGCUGGAGGGUCGGAGGGGAGACUGGAAUUCUCGGUGUAGCAGUGAAAUGCGUAGAUAUCGAGAGGAACACCAGUGGCGAAGGCGAGUCUCUGGACGACUCCUGACACUGAGGCACGAAGGUCAGGGGAGCAAACGGG
rnacentral:rRNA from 1 species